rnacentral:tRNA from 1 species
GCUUUAGAUCAGUUGGUAGAGCAUGAGAUUCUAAAUCUCAGGGUUGUGGGCUUGAGCCCCAUGUUGGGCA